GAACGCCGUGUGCGGGAAAUCCGAAUGCACGGUUUGAUGAGAAGUACGGGGGAGAAUCCCUCGUCUUACUCUAC
rnacentral:misc_RNA from 1 species